UACGUAGGGGGCAAGCGUUGUCCGGAUUUAUUGGGCGUAAAGCGCACGCAGGCGGUCUGUUCAGUUUGGAGUGACAGUUCCUGGCUCAACUGGGAAAGUGCUUCGAAUACUGGCGGACUUGAGGGCUUCAGAGGGACACGGAAUUCCGGGUGGAGUGGUGAAAUGCGUAGAGAUCCGGAGGAACACCAAAGGCGAAGGCAGCGUCCUGGGGAGUACCUGACGCUCAGGUGCGAAAGCCAGGGGAGCGAACGGG
rnacentral:rRNA from 1 species